rnacentral:rRNA from 1 species
GCGAACGGGUGAGUAACGCGUGGGAAACUUGCCCCUAAGUUGGGGAUAACACGGCUAACGCUGUGCUAAUACCGAAUGUGGUCUGUUGGUCACCUGAUUGACAGACUAAAGAUGCAAAUUGCUUAGGGAGAGUCCCGCGUCCUAUUAGCUAGUUGGUAAGGUAAUGGCUUACCAAGGCGAUGAUGGGUAGCCGGCCUGAGAGGGUGGUCGGUCACAUGGGCACUGAGACACGGGCCCAACUCCUACGGGAGGCAGCAGUCGAGAGGCUUCCACAAUGGACGAAAGUCUGAUGGAGCGACGCCGCGUGGAUGAUGACGCUUUUCGGAGUGUAAAGUCCUUUUGUAUGGGACGAACGCUGGGAUUCGUCCUGGUUUGACGGUACCAUACGAAUAAGCCACGGCUAACUCCGUGCCAGCAGCCGCGGUAACACGGGGGUGGCGAGCGUUGUUCGGAAUUACUGGGCGUAAAGGGUGUGUAGGCGGAUUAGUCAGCCAGGGGUGAAAGCUUGCGGCUCAACCGUAAAUCUGCCUUUGGAACAGCUAGUCUUGAGUGCGGUAGAGGAGAAUGGAAUUCUCGGUGUAGCGGUGGAAUGCGUUGAUAUCGAGAAGAACACCAGUGGCGAAGGCGAUUCUCUGGGCCGUAACUGACGCUGAGGCACGAAAGCAUGGGUAGCAAACAGGAUUAGAUACCCUGGUAGUCCAUGCCGUAAACGAUGGGUACUAGGUGUUGGGGGUUUUGAGCCUCCAGUGCCGGAGCUAACGCAUUAAGUACCCCGCCUGGGGAGUACGGCCGCAAGGUUGAAACUCAAAGGAAUUGACGGGGGCCCGCACAAGCGGUGGAGCAUGUGGUUUAAUUCGAUGCUACGCGAAGAACCUUACCCGGACUUGACAUAGUGGUGUCGACGGUAGAGAUAUCGUUUCCCCGUCAGGGGCACCAUUACAGGUGUUGCAUGGCUGUCGUCAGCUCGUGUCGUGAGAUGUUGGGUUAAGUCCCGCAACGAGCGCAACCCUUGUUCUUAGUUGCCAUCAGGUAGAGCUGGGCACCCUAAGGAGACUGCCGAGGUAACAACUUGGAGGAAGGUGGGGACGACGUCAAGUCAUCACGGCCCUUACGUCCGGGGCUACACACGUGCUACAAUGGUCGGUACAAUGGGAUGCGAUACCGCGAGGUGGAGCCAAUCCUAAAAGCCGAUCUCAGUUCGGAUUGGAGUCUGCAACUCGACUCCAUGAAGUCGGAAUCGCUAGCAAUCGUGGAUCAGCACGCCACGAUGAAUACGUUCCCGGGCCUUGUACACACCGCCCGUCAAGCGAUGAAAGCUGGGGGUACCCGAAGUCGUCGACCGAACCGCAAGGGCGGAGGCGCCUAAGGUAAACCCGGUGAUUGGCGCUAAGUCGUAACAAGGUA